rfam:Triticum urartu cultivar G1812 contig546168, whole genome shotgun sequence.
GAUGUACUCCCUCCGUCCCGAAUUACUUGUCUUAGAUUUGUCUACAUACGGAUGUAUCGAGACACGUUUUAGUGUUAGAUACAUCCAUAUCUAGAGAAAUCUAAGAUAAGUAAUUUGGUACAGAAGUAAUACUUA